UCUAGAGAUGCAGAUCCCUCCUCCAGUUUCGACUUUGGUACCCGCCUCAGACUGAAGUAGGCGCACCUGCUAUGUGAUCGUCCUUCUAUUCUAGCACCCGUAUAACCAAUGAGCUGUCCCCAGACCCUACUGAAAUAAUGGUAAAACAAUAAGGAGAACAUAAGCGAAAACAAUACAUGAAGAUAUGCAAAAACAUUUUGGAAGAAAGAAAACUGACUAGGGUCUGAGGAAGUUGGAACAGUGCAAAUAACAACAGUUGACUCGGAACCACUAAAAGCUUAGGACUGGGAGCAUCAAGCUUUGCAAAGGUAGGGGUGGAAGGAGGGGGCUGGAAAUGAAGGGUGAGUUUAAAGUCGACAUAAGGAGCAGUUAGACCCCAUGUUCCCUCCUCCAGCCUGGUCAGCUGAGUGAUUGCCUCUCUCCCAUCCCCCACCAAAAAAGGCAGGAGGUGCAUGGACUGUCUCCUGAGAAUGAACCAGUGAGGCCCUGGGCUUCAGUUCCGCAGCCGGCUGAGGGUGGAGAGCGAGAGAAACUGCAGCUUCUUUCUCCUGGCUCUAGAGCACUGGCAGCCAGGUUCAUGCUCCCCAGGCCGGAGGCUGCAGGAUUCUUCUCUGGGAGAACUGAGCAGUCUAAAAGUUCUCUGGGUAUUGAGAGUUCUCAACACAAUAGUUGUCUCUGCCACCUCACCCUGCAGGGAAGAUGCCAAUCAACGAGUCCUAGAGAGCAUUCAGUUGGCCUUUAAGUGCCUCUGCUAAAAUAUGAAGACCAGGAUUUGAGGGAAGUCUCUUUCAUGAAAGACAGAAGCCAAAAUAAAGACGCCAAUGGUGGUGGGAAGGAAAGCAGGUACAAUGCAGGGAAUAUAAAAAUAUAAGUUACGGCCGGGUGUGGUGGCUCACACCUGUAAUCCCAGCACUUUGGGAGGCCGAGGUGGGUGGAUCAUGAGAUCAGGAUUUGGAGACCAGCCUGACCAACAUGGUGAAAACUCAUCUCUAAAAUACAAAAAAUUAGCUGGGCAUGGGUGGUAUGUGCCUGUAAUCCCAGGUACUCAGGAGGCUGAGGCAGGAGAAUCACUUCAACUUGGAAGAAGGAGGUUGCAGUGAGCCAAGAUGGCACCAUUGCACUCCAGCCUGGAGCCUGGGUAUCUCAAAAAUAUAUAUAUAUAUGUGUGUGUGUGUGUGUGUGUGUGUGUGUGUGUGUGUGUGUGUGUAUAGUUACAUAUACAAUUUAUGUAACUAGACUACUAACAAUGUAAUGAUAUAACUUAUUAAGAAUGAUCGGGGGGAACGAUCCAAGAUGGCCGAUCGCUAACAUCCCGGGAUUGCAGCUCUCAGGGAAAGCGCAGAGAACUAGAGGACACCACACUUUCAGACAAAUUCUGGUCGCUCACGGAGCAGAAGAUCCCCCAGUGGAGGAAACAUACGGGUGGCCAGCACGACUCUCGUGGCCAGCGCAGCGGUUCCUCCGGCACCUCGGCGCGGCAGCUCUCAGAGCAGAGUAAACAGGUUUGGAGGACCCGCACGGGCCCCCAGCAGGACACCAGAGCCUGGCACAGCAGCUGUGAUGGCACCUUGGCGCGGCAGCGCUCAGUGCAGAGUAAACGGGACCGGUUCCCCUUCUGACCGAGGUUUGGAGCCCCGGGAAGGCAGAGUCGCCUACUACGGACACAAGAAGGAAGCCAGACAGGAGAAUCCUGGGCAGAAAAGCACCAUCAGUUUUAACGCCGCUGCUCUGGCCCUGGGAACUAACAACCUGGAAGUCCACUCAAGAGACCUAAUCUGAAAGUUGGUAAAUUCAAAGACGACAGGAGGAUAAAUUUACAAUGACGGGAAGAAACCAGCGUAAAAAAGCUGAGAAUACUCAAAGUCAGAACGCCUCUCCCUCUAAAGAUGAUCACAGUUCCACAUCAACAAUGGAACAAGGCUUGAUGGAGAACGAGCGCAUCCUGAUGACAGAAUCACUCUUCAAGGAAUGGAUAAUAACAAACUUCGGUGAGUUAAAAGAACAUGUUGUAGCCCAACGUAAAGAAACUAGGAACUUUGAAAAAAAGUUUGAUGAAAUCCUAUUGAGAAUAGACAACUUAGAGAGGAGUAUGAGUGAAAUAAUGGAACUGAAGAAUACAAUACAGGAACUCUGAGAAGUAUGCACAGGUUUAAACACUCGAAUUGUUCAAGCAGAAGAAGGGAUAUCAGAGGUCAAAGUCCAACUUAAUGAAAUAAAACGCGAAGAAAAGAUUAGAGAAAAAAGGAUAAAAAGGAAUGAGCAAAGUCUCCAAGAAAUGUGGGACUAUGUGAAAAGACCAAAUUUACGUUUGAUAGGUGUACCUGAAUGCGAAGGAGAGAAUGAAUCCAAGCUGGAAAAUACCCUUCAGGAUAUUAUUCGGGAAAAUUUUCCUAAACUAGCAAAGCAGGUCAACAUUCAACCCCAGGUAAUACAGAGAACACCACAAAGAUAUUCCUCAAGAAGAGCAACCCCAAGGCACAUAAUCGUUAGAUUCACCAGGGUUGAAACGAAGGAGAAAAUACUAAGGGCAGCCAGAGAGAGAGGUCAGGUUACCCACAAAGGCAAGCCUAUCAGACUUACAGCAGAUCUCUCAGCAGAAACUCUACAAGCCAGAAGAGAGUGGGGGCCGAUAUCCAACAUCCUCAAAGAACAGAACCUUCAGCCCAGAAUUUCAUAUCCAGCCAAACUAAGCUUCAUAACUGAAGGAAAAAUAAAAUCUUUUAUGAACAAGCAAGAACUCAGAGAGUUUAUUACCACCAGGCCUGCUUUACAAGAGCUUCUGAAAGAAGCAUUACACACAGAAAGAAACAACCAGUAUUAGCCUUUCUAAAAAUACACCAAAAAGUAAAGAGCACCAACAUAAAGAAGAAUUUACACCAACAAAUGGAUAAAACAGCCGGUCAACAUCAAAUGGCAGUAACCCUAAAUAUAAAUUGACUAAAUCCCCCAAUCAAAAGACACAGCCAAAACCCAAUGGCAUAUUACAUCCAGACCUGUUUCACAUGCAGGGAUACACAAAAACUCAAAACAAAGGGAUGGAGAAAGAUUUACCAACCAAAUGGAGAGCAAAAAUAAAUAAUAAAUAAAUAAAAAGCAGAGUUGCAAUUCUCGUAUUGGAUAAAAUAGAUUUUAAAGCAACAAAGAUAUAGUGGUAAAAGGAUCAAUGCAACAACAAGAACUAACGAUCCUAACACCCAGAUACGAGACUUAGAUUCAAUGAGACAGAAAAUUAAUAAGGAUAUCAAGGACUCGAACUCAGAUCCGGAACAAGUAAACUUAAUAAAUAUUUAUAGAGCUCUCCACUUCAAAUACACAAAAUAUACAUUAUUGUCAAUACCACAUCACACCUACCCAUAAGUUUAAAUGAAACAUUGAUUGGCCAUUAUUAAUACCCAAGUUUUUUCAAAAUAAAGCAAUAUUUCCAUUUAC